rnacentral:rRNA from 1 species
AUACGGAGGGUGCAAGCGUUAUCCGGAAUCAUUGGGUUUAAAGGGUCCGUAGGCGGGCUAAUAAGUCAGGGGUGAAAUCCCACAGCUUAACUGUGGAACUGCCCUUGAUACUGUUGGUCUUGAGUUACAGUGAAGUGGUUAGAAUGUGUAGUGUAGCGGUGAAAUGCAUAGAGAUUACACAGAAUACCAAUUGCGAAGGCAGAUUACUAACUGUAUACUGACGCUAAUGGACGAAAGCGUGGGGAGCGAACAGGAUUAGAAACCCUAGUAGUCC